UCUCGCCUCUUGCUUUAUUGAAGUCUCUGACGCUCUCCACACACAAACCCUAACAGAGCUGCAUCUUCCUGGACCCCUUCCUUCAGCUCUCAUUCUUGCCGGACGGCGCAUCUCACGAUCCGCACUGCCGUAGACGCGUUAAAAGUUUCUGUAUAGGGCUUUUCGAACACACCCACACACAGAAAGAAAAAAAAAAUCCCGGAUUUGGGAAUCGAGCUAUGCCUACCUCAAAGGAAAUUUGGUUCUUGAAUGUUCUUGUUCCUUCAAUUAUUGUUCCUCUGCUUUUAUCUCUCUUGUUUCUGAAGCUUAUGCCAAAGGAAACUGCCAUUAAAUCCUAUGAGAUGUUUGGAGUUGAGAUCGAGAAGAAUCCAUCUCUUUCCACACUCAUUGAACUUGAUGUCACAACCUGAAGGCGAUGUCUGAGUAACUGCCGUGUGAAGUUUAGGAUGUAACCAGGUUUUCUGGUGGUCACUAAAUAUAAUGAAAGGGAUUAAUGGCUGAGCGAUUGUCUUUUGUGCGUGAGUUGGCGACAUGGUGAUGGCCCUGUGAAGAAGGGGAAGACGAUCUUAAGAGAAGGGGCAGUGUCUGUAUGUGCUUUGAAGCUUUGCUUACUUUUUGUGUUAAGCUGCAAAUGGCCACCAUUUUUCAUGAUAUGGUGAUGCCGGAACAAGUUCAGGAUGGCAUUGGUUGCCCGUAGAAGUUGUGGUGAAAUAUGUUGACAACACGGGCUAAGUGAUUAAUGGUUGCCUCAAGUGAUUGUGUUAUGAUUAGAACAAAAGGUUUUGGAUGUUCUUAACAAGAAGUUGUGUUGGAUCCAUUUCAUACCAUGACCGUUGAAGGAUGACUGAGAAAAGAAAAAAACAAUUAUGUGGCACAUUAUCUUCGGUUGAGUGUAUGUGAGGCCAGAAUGGAUUGUUCCCCAGCGAUGCAUCUCGAGCAUGCGACGGCAGCAAGGCAUGCGACUUGACGAGAGGUAUGUUCCGUACUUGCAGAUGGCAGGAUUAUACCAUCUUGCGAGACUGAACUAGAGAUGGUUCAGAUUGGAUGAGCCCCUUGUAGUGCUUUCGUCGAGUGGUGGCGUCCGGAGACGCACACAUUUCACAUGCCGUUCGGGGAGUGCACUAUCACACUGUAGGACGUGGCGUACCAGUUGGAGUUGUCGGUCGACGGACGUUAUGUCAGUGGUUGCUUGACGGAUUUCCAGACAUACAUCCAGGGUGGCUGUCUAGCUUGGGUGUGGUUCCAGGAGUUGCUUGGUGUGUUACCUCCUGCGAACCAAAUCCAGAAGUUUACAGUGAACUGCGGCUGGUUCCAGGAGACGUUUGGAGAGUGCCCUGAGGGAGCCGACGAGGAGACAGUCAGGCGCCAUGCUCGGGCCAAUAUCAUGAUACUGUUAGGCACUUAUCUGUUUGCCGACAAGUGCGGUAACCGUAUUCACAUUGGGUGGAUACCUUACGUGGCUAUGCUUGGGGAAAUGGGUGGUUACAGUUGGCGGUCAGCAGCACUCGCGUGGUUGUACUUGUGCAUGUGCUGAGUGGCCAACAGACAUGUUGUGAAGUUAGCCGGUUCGUUACAGCUACUUCAGUCUUGGAUCUUCUAGCACUUUCCUAGGUUUAGACCUGCUGGGUAUGAUACGUUCAGCUGGCCCUUAGCCUCGAGGUGGUCAGGUCACAAUCCUUCUGCUAGCGGGAAGGGACCUCAAGUGCAGAUGUGUAGGCUGAGGAUAGACCUGUUACAGGCUGUGGAUGUAUUUUCUGGCUGAAUUGAGGGACUUGAGCAAAAAUCUGAUUCAGAGACUAAAAAGGACUACAGAUGCUGUUGGAUUCUGACCUCCCUGCACUCGAAGUGGAUUUUCUGGAGCUACAGAAGCCCAAUUGGCGCGCACUCCACUGCGUUGGAAAGUAGACAUCGUGGGCUUUCCAGCAAUAUAUAAUAGUCCAUACUUUGCCCAAGAUUUGAUGGCCCAAACUGGCGUUCCAAAUCAGCUCAAAACUUCCCGGCGUUAAACCCCGGAACUGGCACAAGAAUGGGAGUUAAACGCCCAAACUGGCACAAAAGUUGGCGUUUAACUCCAAGAGAAGUCUCUACACGAAAAUGCUUCAAUGCUCAGUCCAAGCACACACCAAGUGGGCCCGGAAGUGGAUUUUUAUGUAAUUUACUCAUCUUUGUAAACCCUAGGCUACUAGUUCUCUACAAAUAGGACCUUUUGCUAUUGUAUUUUCAUCUUGGUUCUUCUGAUUCCCUCUCUGGGGCCGAAAUCAAUGAUCACUUUUGUUCUUAUGUAUUUUCAACGGUGGAGUUUCUACACACCAUAGAUUAAGGUGUGGAGCUCUGUUGUACCUCGAGUAUUAAUGCAAUUACUAUUGUUCAUCUAUUCAAUUCAGCCUAUUCUUGUUCUAAGAUAUUCAU